rnacentral:rRNA from 1 species
CUACGGAGGGUGCAAGCGUUACUCGGAAUUACUGGGCGUAAAGCGCGCGUAGGCGGAUUGAUCAGUCAGGGGUGAAAUCCCGGAGCUUAACUCCGGAACUGCCUUUGAUACUGUCAAUCUUGAGUUCGAGAGAGGUGAGUGGAAUUCCUAGUGUAGAGGUGAAAUUCGUAGAUAUUAGGAAGAACACCAGUGGCGAAGGCGGCUCACUGGCUCGAUACUGACGCUGAGGUGCGAAAGCGUGGGGAGCAAACAGGAUGAGAAACCCUAGUAGUCC